rnacentral:rRNA from 1 species
CAAUAGCGUAUAUUAAAGUUGUUGCAGUUAAAAAGCUCGUAGUUGAAUUUCGGGUCCCCGCGCUCGGCGCUUCAUUGUGCCGUCGUGGUGUCCCUCCUCGCCGUAAGGCGUCCUUUACUGUGAAAAAAUUAGAGUGUUCAAAGCAGGCAAUCGCUUGAAUACAUUAGCAUGGAAUAAUAAGAUAGGAUCUUGUCUAUUUUGUUGGUUGCGGACAACGAUAAUGAUUAAUAGGGAUAGUUGGGGGUGUCCGUAUUGAGCUGUCGGAGGUGAAAUUCUUGGAUUUGCUCAAGACGAACUACUGCGAAAGCAUUCACCAAGGAUGUUUUCAUUAA